GGGGGUCGGCCGCGGAGGCGGCCCGGGCGCCGGCCUCCCUAGCGCUCACCGCCGCGCUCCGCUGGCUGGGCCGUGCUGGCCCCUGGCGCUAGGCAGCUGACUCCAUCCAGAUGUGCCGCGGCUCCAGAGUGGCUGCCGCGCGCAGUAAAUGGGCAUCGGAGGCUCGUCAAUCCGGGCCAGAGCAAUUGCGGUCUCGGGGCCGCCCCACUGGCACUCGGAAAGGGUCUCGCUCUGUCACCCAGGCAGAAGAGCAGUGGUACGAUCUUGGUUCAUUACAGCCUUGACCUCCUGAGCUCAAGUGAUCCUUCCACCUCAGCCUCCGGAGUAGCUGGGACCGCAGGAAUGCAAUACCAUGUCUGGCUAAUUUUUGUACUUUUGGUAGAGGCGGGGUCUUGCUACCUUACCAGGGCUGGUCUCAAACUCCCGGGCUCAAGCGAUCCUCCUUGCCUUGGCCUCCCAAAGUACUGAGAUUACAGGCAUGAGCCGCUGCACAGAGCCCCACUAACUAUUUUUUGAAUAAAUCUGAGUUCCUGAAAGAUUGAAUACAAUCUGUUUAGAGGAAGAAGCUGUAAAACUGUAAUAAGAUGAAAGAAGAAGAAAGGAAGAAAAGGAGGAGCGAAAGGAGGAGGGGAAGAAACUGAUUCAUGCAGGUUAAAUAAUAUCAUAAUUAUUCCACUGUAAUUUUUUUGCACUUUAAAGUACUCACCUGUCUAUUCUGUACUGGAGUUCUGACCUUGUUUCUGGUCUACCACACCACUGCAUUU
rnacentral:lncRNA from 10 species